CUUUACUGAGAGGGUAGUGGAUGCAUGGAAUAGCCUUCCAGCUGAAGUGGUAGAGGUUAACACAGUAAAGGAGUUUAAGCAUGCGUGGGAUAGGCUUAAGGCUAUCCUAACUAUAAGAUAAGACUAGUGACUAAUGAAAGUAUUUAGAAAAUUGGGCAGACUAGAUGGGCCGAAUAGUUCUUAUCUGCCGUCACAUUCUAUGUUUCUAUGUUUCUAUGAGAUGGAGCAGAGCAGAGAGAACACAGCUCCCUCACCGCGUCUGACAGGAACUCUGACGCCCGCCACACUGAAGCACCACUGGACCCAUGCAGGGAAGCCGGGUGGACAUUGAUUAUUAAUAAUUUGUGUGUGUGUGUGUGUUUGAAUGUGUAUGUGUCUGUAAGUGUAUAUGUGUGUCUGAGUGUGUGUGUUUGUCUGUGAGUGUGUGUCUGUAGGUGUGUAAGUGUAUGUGUGUGUCUGAAUGUAUAUGUGUGUCUGAGUCUGUGUGUGUAUGUGUUUGUCUGUGAGUGUGUUUCUGAGUAUGUGUGUCUGUCUGUAAGUGUGUGUGUCUGUAAGCGUAUGUGUGUGUGUCUGUAAGUGUAAGUGUCUGUAUGUGUGUGUCUGAAUGUGCAUGUGUCUGUAAAUGUAUGUGUGUGUUUGAGUGUGUGUGUAUAUGUUUGUCUGUGAGUGUGUCUGUUAGUGUAUGCUUGCCGGAGUGUGUGUGUCUGUAAGUGUGUGUGUCUGUAAGUGUAUGUGUCUGUAAGUGUAUGUGUGUGUGUCUGUGAGUUUAUGAGUGUAUGUGUGUGUCUCUCCAUGUGUCUGUAUGCAUGUCUGUAUGUUUGGGUCUCUGUGUGUGUGUGUCUGUAUGUAUGUGUCUACAUGCGUAUCUGUUUGUCUACAUGUGUGUGGGGGGGCAAGGACGUGUGGGGUAGGUGAUAGAUGUAUGGGGGGAGCCUCUGAUAGUGGUACCACAAUCAGGGGGGCUCACCCCUUUCAAAUCCCAGCAGUCACAGAGGCCAGGAGAGGGCGUAAGGCGGCUCAACCCUGCGCACAGCUGUACCAGUCAGUCUGCACAAACAGGCACCAGAAAAGUUCAAUUGUAUACACUGUAUACCACCCUCUUUAGGUUGUCAAUGGUAUAAUUCACAGCUGGUGAAAAUAAAAGCUGCUAAUAUAUGCAAGGGAUUGGUACGCUUAAUAUAAAGAGACGCUGAUAGUCUUCAGUAAUAAAGGGGGACAGGGAAAAAUACAGGGAAUAAUAUCCAGAGGCCUAAUUCUAAACUAAAGCAAGCAAAGACAGGGCAUAAAGGCUAGGCAAAACAGUGGGGAUGACAGCUGGAAGGGCAGCAUAGAGUAUAGGAAACCUUAGGAAACACCAUUAAAGCAAAAUACAGGGUGGCCCAUAACUCCCUUCCCAUCCAUAUAUCCAGGGCAGGCGUUUACUAUAAGGCGAUCUAGGCAGCCGUUUCCUGUCAGUCCAGGCGGGUACAGGAAGCAGAAGCUCCUGUACCGCGGACCUUGGCCACGUUACACAGGGAAGGGGAGGUGAGGAGAAAGUGGGAGGGGGAGGAGAGUGU
rnacentral:lncRNA from 1 species